UGCAUCUCGAAGUACGGAGUGCCA
rnacentral:siRNA from 1 species